rnacentral:lncRNA from 1 species
AACCUUUGCUGGGACUUCUGAAACCAACCAUUGAAGGACACGAGAAGUCAAUAGAAAAGAAAAUGGACAUAAAAAAGGAAAGAAAAUGCAAUCGGACCAAAGAAGUGAAAAAGAAAUUAAGGAAAAAAAAAGAAAACCAACCUGUGACUGCAUGAGAAGCCGAGAUGGUGGAUUGAAAGAGAGCCAUCGAUGACCCAAGAAAAUUGAGAGAGAUGACCAGA